GAUACAUCUUUCAGAUUACAAAUCUGAUUCCCUGCCCUUCAAAAAAAAAAAAAAGAGAGAGAGAGAGAGACUAUUCUUUUGGAGAGCGCAGUGGAAAAGAAAACCCCUCUCACGGCCCGCGUGGUGUCCACCCUGCCUGCUUCUCCCCUGCCCCAGCCUCUCUGCACGAGCCACACCGGCCUUGUUCCCGUUCCUCAGAUCUGUCAGUUCCUUUCAGUCACAGAACCCGUAUGUCCUCCAGAUCACAUCCCCCAGUCGCUUUCACACCCCACCCGCUCUCCUGUGCAGCACGUGUAGCUGAGACACUGGUAUUAGUAGUUCUCUGUACAAACUGUUGGUGUGUCUUCCUCCUCAGAUGAAGUCAGGGGCCAUGUUGAUCUUGUAUCCUCUGCCCGACCCACUGUGCAACCUGGCCCACUCUAGUGCUCAGUCUUUAUUAUGGCCCAGCAAUUCCACUCCUCGGGAGGGGUUCAGUAGACAGGACAGGUUGUGUCCAUCAAAAGACAUGAGUGGAAAUGCUCAUAGUGACUUUAAUAGCCAAACCUUGGCAGCAGCCCAAUUGCCAUCAACAGGAAAAUGGAUACAUAAACUGUGGUCUAUUCAAAUUAAUACAAUGAAAUACUACACAGCAAUACAAAAAGAGCAAAUUAGUAUGACAUGCAAGAAAAUGGAUGAAUCUCACAGACACAAAGUUCCGUGAAAGAAGGCAGACACAAAACAGUGUAUUUUUUGUGAUUAUUCUCAUAGGAAGUUUAGCAAUAAGGGAAGUCACCUGUUAGAGGAGAAUGGUUAGGAAGAAUUUGCUAAACACAGGCACCCUGUAGAGCCCUUGACAAGCCUUGACUCACACGAAAUCUGCAAACCCUGUGACGCUGAUUCUUUUUGGAUCCCGUUUGUCAGAUGAGGGAAGCUCUGUGAGGAGUGUCGACUUAAAAAACCGUCACCAGCUGAAAGCUGAGAGUGAUGUUUUAUCUGGUUGGGUUUUUAAGAUGUCAAGCCUGGGAGACUGCAUCUCAAGGGACCCUGAGAGUACUGUCCCCAGGAGUUGGGGAGAGUCAGCUUAUAGAGGAAUCUGCAUCGAGGGGCAGGCAAUCUGAACAUCAAAAGAGUAUUGUUAACUAAAGAAAACCAGUUAUCGCAAGGAAUUUAGCGCUUUUCCAUGUGUGCUAAGUCGCUUCGGUCUCGUGUCCGACUCUUUGCAACCGCAAGGACUGUAGCCCGCCAGGCUCCUCUGCCCAUGGAUUCUCCAGGCGAGAACACCAGGGUGGGUGGCCAUGCCCUCCUCCGGAGAUCGAAGUCGUGUCUCCUAGUUUCCUGCGUUGGCAGCUGAGUCCUUCCGCACCAGCAUGGAGGGAAGGUGGAGUCUGGGCUCCCUGAGAUCUCUCCUUCCACAGGCACCUCACCUGUCUGGGGCCAGCGCCCUGUUUUCACAUCCUGAGCUCCCUUUCCUCAGGGCUCCCCGGAGGAAUGGCUGCAGUCUGAUGGCUGUAGGGCUGCAGGCUCUCCUCUCCCCUGAGCUCCCUUUCCUCAGGGCUCGCUGGAGGAAUGGCAGCCGUCUGAUGGCGGUAGGGCGGCAGACUCUCUUCUCCCCCUGAGCUCCCUUUCCUCAGGGCUCCCCGGAGGAAUGGCUGCCGUCUGAUGGUGUAGGGCUGCAGGCUCUCCUCUCCCCUGAGCUCCCUUUCCUCAGGGCUCCCCGGAGGAAUGGCAGCCGUCUGAUGGUGUAGGGCGGCAGGCUCUCUUCUCCCUCCUGAGCUCCCUCAGGGCUCGCCGGUUCACCCCAGGGAGGCUCGUGGCUGAGGCGCCCUUGUGUACGCCGCCUCCCAGGAGGGACACUGGCCGAGACCACACUUGCUAAGUGCAGAGUCCCUGCUCCCCCCGGUGGCCCUGUGCUGUCCUGACGAUUGUAUCAGCUGCUGCACAAGAACAAGCCGCUGGGGCUGCUGGGCCAAAAGGCUGCGUGAGAGCAAACGCCGCGCCUUCCCCGCCCGGCCUGAGGUACCACGGGGCUCAGUACUCCUGUGACUCGUCCUACGAGAAAACGGAGGCUCAGAGUGGCCGCUCGACGCCAUGUAACUGCGUGGCGUUGCAUUUGUACGGUUUUGACUGAAUUCUGUUGUGUGGGUUGAUUCUAAGUGACUUCCACAGUCUCCCUGAACCACACUGCUUGUGUAGACAUUUUCACGGUCCUCGAGCACUUUCGCCUUCUUGAGCCUUUCCUCCAUAAGACAAAUAUGACAAAGUAUAGUUUAUGAUUGCCUUGGCAUAAAGAGAAAUGUAACUCAGGCUGGGUUAGUACAUUC
ensembl:lncRNA